GGGUACGACCAUACUUGGCCGAAUGCACCAUAUCCCGUCCGAUUUGUGAAGUUAAGCGGCCACAGGUCUCGUUAGUACGGCGACCACGUACAGUGCUGGAACCCGGGGUGCCGUACCCU
rnacentral:rRNA from 1 species